ensembl:misc_RNA Metazoa_SRP Metazoan signal recognition particle RNA
ACUGGGUGUGGUGGCGCACACCUGUAGUCCCAGCUACUCGGGAGGCUGAGGCAGGAGAAUCACUUGAACUCGGGAAGCGGAGUUUGCAGUGAGCUGAGAUCAUGCCACUGCACUCCAGCCUGGGUGACAGAGUGAGACUCUGUCUCAA